AUUGAACGCUGGCGGCAGGCCUAACACAUGCAAGUCGAACGAGUGGCGGACGGGUGAGUAAUGUAUGGGGCUCUGCCUGAUAGAGGGGGAUAACUACUGGAAACUGUGGCUAAUACCGCAUACCAUCGGAUGAACCCAUAUGGGAUUAGCUAGUUGGUGGGGUAAAGGCUCACCUAGGCGACGAUCUCUAGCUGGUCUGAGAGGAUGAUCAGCCACACUGGGACUGAGACACGGCCCAGACUCCUACGGGAGGCAGCAGUGGGGAAUAUUGCGCAAUGGGCGCAAGCCUGAUGCAGCCAUGCCGCGUGUAUGAAGAAGGCCUUAGGGUUGUAAAGUACUUUCAGCGGGGAGGCGUUACCCGCAGAAGAAGCACCGGCUAACUCCGUGCCAGCAGCCGCGGUAAUUC
rnacentral:rRNA from 1 species